AGAACGAACGCUAGCGGCGCGUUUCAGGCAUGCAAGUCGCACGGCAUCAGCCCUUCGGGGUGUUGGCGAGUGGCGCACGGGUGAGUAACGCGUAGGUCAUCUGCCCUUAGGUCAGGGAUAGCCCUUCGAAAGUUGGAUUAAUACCUGAUAAUAUGGCGACAUCAAAGGAUUUAUUCGCCUAAGGAUGAGCCUGCGUUAGAUUAGCUUGUUGGUGAGGUAACGGCUCACCAAGGCGACGAUCUAUAGCCGAGUUGAGAGGCUGAUCGGCCACAUUGGAACUGAGACACGGUCCAGACUCCUACGGGAGGCAGCAGCUAAGAAUCUUCCGCAAUGGGCGCAAGCCUGACGGAGCGACGCCGCGUGAACGAUGAAGGCCUUUCGGGUUGUAAAGUUCUUUUAUAAGAGACGAAUGUCUGGUGUAGGCCAGACUGACUGUAUCUUUUGAAUAAGGUCCGGCUAACUACGUGCCAGCAGCCGCGGUAAUACGUAGGGACCAAGCGUUGUUCGGAAUUAUUGGGCGUAAAGGGUACGUAGGCGGCAUGAUAAGUCAGAUGUGAAACCCUCGGGCUCAACCUGAGGCCUGCGUCUGAUACUGUUGUGCUAGAGUUACUGAGAGGAAGACGGAAUUCCUGGUGUAGGGGUGAAAUCUAUAGAUAUCAGGAAGAACACCUAUUGCGAAGGCAGUCUUCUGGCAGCUAACUGACGCUGAUGUACGAAAGUUAGGGUAGCAAACAGGAUUAGAGACCCUGGUAGUCCUAACCGUAAACGUUGUAUACUAGGUGGUUGAAGUAUUGAUCCUUUGACUGCCGGAGCUAACGCAUUAAGUAUACCGCCUGGGGAGUAUGCCGGCAACGGUGAAACUCAAAGGAAUUGACGGGGGCCCGCACAAGCAGUGGAGCAUGUUGUUUAAUUCGAAGAUACGCGAGAAACCUUACCAGGUCUUGACAUAUACCUGAAUGGUGUGGAACACAUCCGCCCAUCGGGGCAGGUAUACAGGUGCUGCAUGGUUGUCGUCAGCUCGUGCCGUGAGGUGUUGGGUUAAGUCCCGCAACGAGCGCAACCCUUAUUCUUUGUUGCUAACAGGUUAAGCUGAGCACUCUAAGAAGACAGCCGGUGACAAACCGGAGCCCGGUGGGGAUGACGUCAAAUCAUCACGGCCCUUAUGAUCUGGGCUACAAACGUGCUACAAUGGGCGGCACAAAGAGUUGCGAUACCGCGAGGUGGAGCUAAUCUCAAAAAACCGUCAUCAGUUCGGAUUGGAGUCUGAAACCCGACUCUAUGAAGCUGGAAUUGCUAGUAAUCGCACAUCAUCA
rnacentral:rRNA from 1 species